GAGGAAUAUUGGUCAAUGGGCGAGAGCCUGAACCAGCCAAGUAGCGUGAAGGAUGACUGCCCUAUGGGUUGUAAACUUCUUUUAUAAAGGAAUAAAGUCGGGUAUGCAUACCCGUUUGCAUGUACUUUAUGAAUAAGGAUCGGCUAACUCCGUGCCAGCAGCCGCGGUAAUACGGAGGAUCCGAGCGUUAUCCGGAUUUAUUGGGUUUAAAGGGAGCGUAGAUGGAUGUUUAAGUCAGUUGUGAAAGUUUGCGGCUCAACCGUAAAGUUGCAGUUGAUACUGGAUAUCUUGAGUGCAGUUGAGGCAGGCGGAAUUCGUGGUGUAGCGGUGAAAUGCUUAGAUAUCACGAAGAACUCCGAUUGCGAAGGCAGCCUGCUAAGCUGCAACUGACAUUGAGGCUCGAAAGUGUGGGUAUCAAACAGGAUUAGAUACCCUGGUAGUCCACACGGUAAACGAUGAAUACUCGCUGUUUGCGAUAUACGGCAAGCGGCCAAGCGAAAGCGUUAAGUAUUCCACCUGGGGAGUACGCCGGCAACGGUGAAACUCAAAGGAAUUGACGGGGGCCCGCACAAGCGGAGGAACAUGUGGUUUAAUUCGAUGAUACGCGAGGAACCUUACCCGGGCUUAAAUUGCAGAUGAAUUACGGUGAAAGCCGUAAGCCGCAAGGCAUCUGUGAAGGUGCUGCAUGGUUGUCGUCAGCUCGUGCCGUGAGGUGUCGGCUUAAGUGCCAUAACGAGCGCAACCCUUGUUGUCAGUUACUAACAGGUUCCGCUGAGGACUCUGACAAGACUGCCAUCGUAAGAUGUGAGGAAGGUGGGGAUGACGUCAAAUCAGCACGGCCCUUACGUCCGGGGCUACACACGUGUUACAAUGGGGGGUACAGAGGGCCGCUACCACGCGAGUGGAUGCCAAUCCCAAAAACCUCUCUCAGUUCGGACUGGAGUCUGCAACCCGACUCCACGAAGCUGGAUUCGCUAGUAAUCGCGCAUCAGCCACGGCGCGGUGAAUACGUUCCCG
rnacentral:rRNA from 1 species